UACGGGGGGGGCAAGCGUUGUUCGGAAUUACUGGGCGUAAAGGGCUCGUAGGUGGCCAACUAAGUCAGACGUGAAAUCCCUCGGCUUAACCGGGGAACUGCGUCUGAUACUGGAUGGCUUGAGUUUGGGAGAGGGAUGCGGAAUUCCAGGUGUAGCGGUGAAAUGCGUAGAUAUCUGGAGGAACACCGGUGGCGAAGGCGGCGACCUGGGACAAUACUGACGCUGAGGUGCGAAAGCGUGGGGAGCAAACAGG
rnacentral:rRNA from 1 species